rnacentral:rRNA from 1 species
AUACGUAGGGGGCGAGCGUUAUCCGGAUUUAUUGGGUGUAAAGCGUGUGUAGGCGGUUUGUUAAGUUUAAGAUUAAAGCCCGAGGCUUAACCUCGGUUCGUCUUAAAAACUGGCAGACUUGAGUGCAGUAGAGGCAAGUGGAAUUUCUAGUGUAGCGGUUAAAUGCGUAGAUAUUAGAAGGAACACCAGUGGCGAAGGCGGCUUGCUGGGCUGUUACUGACGCUGAGACACGAAAGCGUGGGGAGCAAAUAGGAUUAGAUCCCCUAGUAGUCCACGCCGUAAACGAUGAGUACUAAGUGUCGGGUAACCGGUGCUGAAGUUAACACAUUAAGUACUCCGCCUGAGUAGUACGGUCGCAAGGCUGAAACUCAAAUGAAUUGACGGGG